CUCCUCCAUAGUCUCUCUCCCUCUUGAUCCCAACCUUUCCCGACAUGGUCGCCGCCGUCGCCGCGUCGAUCCCGCGGCCACCGCCUCCUGUUCGCCUCGUUAAUGUUCUCGAACGCCUCCCUGACGUCGACUACGCCAAACGGAACAAACCAGGAAGCCUCUAUGCCGCCGCCAUCUUCUUCUCCUUCCUCGGAUUGCCGCCGUCUGUCGCCAUCGAUUCCGGACGCUCUGCGCCUCCCCGAGCACACUGCCACCUCCCUACGGCUCCCGAUGUUGGAGCCCAGGAGCCAGGCGACACCGUCGACGACUCCUGCUACACUAGAGGUGCCUACUACUACAUGUAGGCCACCGUCGACGAUCAUGAGUAGUUUAGAAGGAUCCCAGGCAGGAGGCAUGCGCCUCUUUCGAUCUGUAUCCCAG
rnacentral:rRNA from 1 species